CAAGGCUUUCACCCAACCACAGAAUCUCCUUGUAUUGGCUCCCACUGCCAAGGCGUCUUCUUACCUGGUAAUCUUUCGACCCAACCAGGAUUGAACUAGGUAAGAGUUUCUUGUUCUGAUGUUCUGAUCCGUCUAGAUUUUUUAAAAGUAGUUCUGCUAGUUGUCGCUCAUACUUUGAUGAGCAUGAGAUCUUUUUUUCCCUGAUUUUGUUAAGGAGAAUCCACCUAUCCUCUUUCCAAACCGAGGCAAAACGUUCACACAAUUCCUGAGUAAUGAGGUGCUGCUUGCCAAAUCUCCAUUGAAAUAGCUGUGGAUCUCUCCAUUGCUUCUGAUAUUUGUUGGAAUACAGAAGCCUCUUCUUCUGUACCUCAUCCUGAUCCCACCCUGAAAAUUCUCCGACGGUUUCGAUUGCUUCGAUAACGAUUGUAAUGUAGGUAAGUAAAUUGUGGAUAUAAAACUGGACACAAUCUGUAUUCUGAGAAAGAACAAUGGCUUUUGCACACCAGUCCUUGGUUUCCAAGCAUUGCUUGAUGUAGCCUUCUCCUUCUUUGAAUAUUCUAUAAAUCUCACGCAAUGGUUGUUCUAGUAGUCUCCAUUUGGUGUGUUUCUCCUCAAAUUUCAGAUUCUGCUUCAUCUCUUCUGCAAUUGAAUCAUAUGCAGAGUUGAACAUAUCAAGCAACAAGCAGCAUUGCCGUUGAUUGAUUUCGAUAUUGUCACGAAAUACCAUCACUGCCUUCAAACUUCC
rnacentral:lncRNA from 1 species